rnacentral:rRNA from 1 species
UACGAAGGGGGCUAGCGUUGUUCGGCAUUACUGGGCGUAAAGCGCGCGCAGGCGGCUAUCCAAGUCAGUGGUGAAAGCCCGGAGCUCAACUCCGGAACUGCCAUUGAAACUGUUUAGCUUGAGGACGAGAGAGGUGAGUGGAAUUCCGAGUGUAGAGGUGAAAUUCGUAGAUAUUCGGAAGAACACCAGUGGCGAAGGCGACUCACUGGACGACUGUUGACGCUGAGGUGCGAAAGCGUGGGGAGCAAACAGG